rnacentral:rRNA from 1 species
AUGGGGAGGAAAGGUCUCAUGGUGGUGACCAGCAUCCUCGCUGUGAUGACGAUCGUGUUCGGAGUCAUCAGCGCGGUUCUCUUGGCGCUGAAACAUCAUCAAGAUGACCGUGGCGAGUUCUCUACGUACCGGCGAUCGCCGGCAAUGACAUGUGGCGUGGUAGCGGCCGGGUUGGCGUUGAUGACGCAGAUUCUUGCCAGCAUGGCCAUCUGCUGCUGUGGGGCGUGGCGGAUAACAAAGGGGGCCAAGCGCAUCGCGGCGGUGGUCUUCUUCAUCAUCUCAUGGGUCCUUGCGAUCAUAGCAGUGCUACUAUUUCUGGCAGGCGCCAUGUUAGGGUUUGAAGGCUCUGCAAAGAAAACUGUUGGGAAUGCUAGGACUGUCGGAGGUGUCGCAAUUUUUGUGAUCGCGACGUUUUUGUUUCUUGUAGUUGCCGCUCUUGAGGUUGCCUCAUACCGCCUAGUUCGGAAGAAGGACCACUACUAA